rnacentral:rRNA from 1 species
UCAGGUGGCCGCAGAGAAUAGGCCCAAGCGACUGUUUACCAAAAACAUAGGGUUCUGCUAAGUCGCAAGACGAUGUAUAGGAGCUGACGCCUGUCCGGUGCUGGAAGGUUAAGGGGAUCGGUUAGAGUAAUCGAAGCAGUGAACUUAAGCCCCAGUAAACGGCUGCCGUAACUAUAACGGUCCUAAGGUAGCGAAAUGCCUUGUCGGGUAAGUUCCGACCCGCACGAAAGGCGUAACGAUUUGGGCACUGUCUCAACAACAGACUCGGUGAAAUUGUACUGCCGGUGAAGAUGCCGGAUACCUGCGACAGGACGGAAAGACCCCA